AUGUUGCCACGAUGGGAGAGCUCAACCCAGUGGCACGUUGAGCACCGGUUUGUCCACAUCUGCUUGAGCUUUUGGUUGGGGGUGGGUCUGGUUUGCAGGUUUAGCGGGGGCCUACCACAAUUUGGGAGUGUGAGGGGGGGGGGGGGGAUCUCUGCAUUGAACUCACUACUCAUCAAUUGCGUGGGUAUCUAGAAGACAAUUGACGCUAAGAUUGGAAAAAAGCUUGCAGUUGGGACUAGACUAAAAUAGUGGCCGAUAGAAAACAACGUGCUAGACAGCAUUAUUAUUCAUUUUUUUUUAAUAUUUAUCCAUAGGCUUUUCGCCGGUUAACAGUAUAGUAUUUAGCUGUGUACGAAGAUACGGAUUAGUUGGUGUACACGUACAGAUGACAGGGUUCUCACGGGAAGUGCUUCAAGUGAGGCUUACAUAACAACUGACAAUGAAGAAACCUAUUUUCCUUGACUUUCUACGCAAUGGACAUCUGAACGAACACACGUGUUUUCGUUAAUGUCCUAGGCAUUAUUAAGACAUGACGUAUGUGCAUAACGGAACAACUAUCAGGACACAGUUCCAGACGUCUCUUUUUAAUAACGAUAUUCAGCGUAUUUCCAAUAAAACUACACUUUAGUAAAGCAAAGACUAAAGCUGCUAUGAUAGAACAGAUCAGAAUGACUUAUUUGACUUAUUGACUAUUGGAGAUCUACUUCGUAUAACUGACAAAUUGACAAGAACCUAACUAAAUACAUGGACCAUACUACAAAAAAACAAUUGACAAAAAGAAAAAAGAGGAAAUUUUUAUUAAAACUAUUUUUGUUCAACGCAGGCCAAAACAGUGUCGACUUGGGCCACGCACGCCUACGUACUUCUGUGUGUUGAAACAAAAAUAGAGGCUCCUAGAAGCAAAUGUAGGGAAAGGGUGCGGUGUAGAACAUAAGCACAGUGUUGCUACCGCCGUAA